CCCCUUCACCGCGCCCUCUGGGCUCUGCCGUUAAUCGCACGGAGAGGGGGUGCCGCCGACACUCCUCGCUCCACCCACACGCGUGAGAGCGGCCGCGCUGCCUGGGCUGGAGGGGGUUGCCUCGCUUUCCUUCAGCUUCUUAGAACUUUCUAGGCGCGAUUGUGGCCACAACUUGGACCUUCUAAGAACAGUGCUGCGUCGUGACGCUCUGCUACCAGGCUGAUCCGCUCGGGGUUUGUCCGGAAAUGGCGGACGCAGGAGGCGUCCCGAUCACAAUGGCUUGUCCUGCUGGGGUACUGCAACCACCCAGACAUCUGCUGGAAAAGUAGCAUGGAGAGCUGAAGGCAAUCCAGGAGGCUCCUAGAAUGCACUGAGGAUAAUUUCCUGAGUCAGGAAAUGCAGACCACCAACCUGUUCUUUCAGAGCUGCUUGUUCUAGGCAAUCAUUACUCACUGGGGAUGCCUACUGUGUUUUCUGAAAAACACAUAUGACAGUAAUAGAGUCAGUUAUCAGCCAGAACAAGAUGGAAAUCUUACAGAAAUCUGUCCGGAAUGAACUUGCAACUUGGGUCAUGAGCUGAUUUAGUACAUGACUGCCAAGUGACAGUGAUCAGAAAUUAAACACCAGUCCCUCUUGCCCUGUUGGCACCACCUUUACUCCUGGAUUUUGAACUAGAGGAAUGUUUCAAAAUGAUGUUAAUUUCUACAGAGAGGAAAAGAUAAUGUGCCACUGGACAAGCAUCAGCUAAGGAGAAAUGAGGGUCCAACGAUGAAGGAUUUCUAUGACUUCUUGGAACAAACAGCUAAAGUUUCUCCAUAUCUGUCAACAAUUUAGUCGUUGAUAAUGGACUCGUUUCAUUGCACAGUGAAAAGCAAG
ensembl:lncRNA